rfam:Triticum aestivum genome assembly, contig: Triticum_aestivum_CS42_TGACv1_scaffold_423578_5BS
UUUCUACUCCCUCCGUCCGAAAAUACUUGUCAUCAAAAUGGAUAAAAAGAGAUUUAUCUAAAACUAAAAUACGUCUAGAUACAUUUCCUUUUAUCCAUUUUGAUGACAAGUAUUUCCGGACGGAGGGAGUAUUUG